rnacentral:lncRNA from 1 species
AAGAAAGAAAUAUGUGAGCUCCAGUAACAACACAAAAGAAAAAUGAGAAUUGCCAGGAUGAUGGCAGCCAUCAAUCUGCUUUUGGUCUUUAUACUUCUGCCUUUCUGUGGUGGACAGACCCCGAGGUGACCUGCAUGAUUCCUACCCCCGGUGUUCAUGCCUUCGUAUAAUACCCUCUCCUUGGGUAUGGGCAGAACCUAUGACUUGCUUUUAACCAAUGGGAUAUGGCAAACGUGAUGGGAUGUCACCUCUGUGAUUAAGUUAGCAUAACAAAUGUGAUGAGAUGUCAUUCCUGUGCUUAUGUUACAUUAUAUAAGAUCCUGACUUGCUGGCAGAUUGGCUCUCUCUUGCCCUCCUGAAAGCCUUGAAGAAGCAAGCUGCUAUGUGACAGCCAUUAAGAGGGUCAUGUGAUAGGGAACUGUGGGCAGGUCGUGGCAGCCUCUCAGUUCUCCAGCCUCCAACAAGUGACUUCUGUCAAUAACCUAAGGGAAUGCUGAGAUAGACCUUUCUUCAGUUGAGCCUCUGAUGGGACUGCAGCCCUGGCCAACACCUGGAUUACAGCCUAGUGGGACCCAGAGGGAGAGAACAAAUGUGUGUUGAUAAUAUUGUGUGGAAGAUAAUAAAUGUGUGCUGUUUUAUGCCACUAAGUUUGUGAUGCAGCAACAGAUAAUGAAUUUGCUUUUUUAGAAAUUUCAUACAAAUGAAAUACCAUAAUAAAUCGUCUUUUGUCUGGCUUCUUUCCCUUAACACAUGCCUUUGAGAUUCAUCAAUAUUGUUGCAUAUAUCAGUAGUCAUUCAUUUUUAUUGCUGAGUAAUAUUCCAUUUAUGGAUAUACCACAUUUGGUAUAUCCAUUCACCAGUUGAUAGACAUUUGCAUUGUUUCUACUUUUGGGCUAUUAUGUUUCUACUUUGGGCUACUAUGAAUAAUACUGUUACUGUAAUAAUACUAAUACUGCAAUAUUCAUGUACAAGUCUCCGUGUAGAUGUAUGUUUUCAUCUCUCUUGGGCAGAUAUCUAGUAGUAGAAUUGCUGGGUCAUAUGGGUAGUAUGUUUAACUUUUUUAAUGCUGCCAAACUAUUUCAAAAUAGGCGGCACUACUUUACAUUCUCACCAAUGGAUGAUAGUUUCAGUUUAUUCACUUUCUCUGUAAACUCGGUAUUUUCAGUUUUUAAAACCGGUAUCUCACUGUGAUUUUAAUUUUUAUUUUCCUACUGACUUUGGAAAAGUGCUUAUUAAAAUCUUUUGCC